UGUACUCUGCAGCAAAGCAUGGGACAGUUUUUUUUCUGUGAGUUUGAAUGUUCUCGGUUCCAAAGUUCCUGAACUACUUCAGUUGCUAGGAGCAUCAAAGUCUGAGCCAAGCUGAAGGGCAGCCCAUUUCUGUAGCAGUCAGCAAAACCCUUGAUCUCAAAUGUCUUGACUUAUCCAAAAUCCAAACCCUGGAUCACUCUUCACAGCUUUAGCCCAUCUCUCAUAGUGACACUUAUAUUCUGCUUUUAUCCAGAGUGUGCUAUCAAGAAGCCGCUUGCAUUGUCACUGUUGCCAAGGCAGACCUUUAAUUGGAACAGAAAGUUGGUGUUGCCAGGCAUAAUCAGAAGAUGUCAGCAAGAAUAUUCUGGUAGAUUUCAUUGUGUUUUUUGCUAGACUCAACUUUGAGGCUCAGAGCCACAUUUCUGCUACUGUCAGAAGCUGCACAGCUGGCUCUUAGCAUAGAAGAUAUACGCUGCACUACCUUGCUGCUGAGCACAGCGAAAGGUUAACUUUGUGUCUGUUUGCACUUCUCUGUCUGUAUGCUUGCUGUUGAACUGGAUGGCUGUUGUGAGCUAGAGAACUAGCAGCCUGAAUCCAAACUGAUCAAGAGUAAUGAUGUCCAUCAGCCAUCUCCAUCUCUGUGAAGAACUGUAUAAAACAACAGUUGGGAAAGUGCUGAGCCCACAGUAUCCAUAACUGACUUUCACAAAAUGAUCUCCACAGUUCUGCCAUGUACAAGGCGUAUUAUGCAUUAUGACAAAUUGACAUUUCUCUUGUUUGUGAACUCUAUUUCCUGUUGGAUGCAAGGAUUUAAGCACUUUUUUCCUGUUGCUGUUUAUGAACAAAAGCUAUAUUUCAGUUCAGGAGCACCCUUUACAAGCACACUGCAUAGAGCCAGCUAUAAGAGAAGUAUAUAAGCUGUUAUGUUAAAAAUUCA